rnacentral:rRNA from 1 species
GGACCCGCACAAGCGGUGGAGCAUGUGGUUUAAUUCGAUGCAACGCGAAGAACCUUACCAAGAAUUGACAUGCUGCGAACGUUUACGAAAGUAAAAAGUCUAUUAACUUAGUUAAUAGCGCAGACACAGGUGGUGCAUGGUUGUCGUCAGCUCGUGCCGUGAGGUGUUAGGUUAAGUCCUGCAACGAGCGCAACCCUUGUCUUUAGUUAUAUUCUAGAGAGACUGCCGGUGAUAAACCGGAGGAAGGUGAGGAUGACGUCAAAUCAGCAUGCCCCUUACAUCUUGGGCGACUCACGUGCUACAAUGGUCGGGACAAAGAGAUGCUACCCUGCGAAGGCAAGCUAACCUCAAAAACCCGAUCUCAGUUCGGAUUGCAGGCUGCAACUCGCCUGCAUGAAGUUGGAAUCGCUAGUAAUCGCAGGUC